rnacentral:lncRNA from 1 species
UUACAUUACCACACGUUUCUUCUUAUACCAUCACAUUCUACAAAUAUCCCUAAGUAAAACUUAAAUUACUGUGGUUGAAGACUUCAACGAAAAUGUAAGUUCCAUUGGGCCUUCAACAGAUGUCCAUAUCCGUCAAUAUCUGUUGAAGGCGGAUCCUCCAUUUCCAUUGACAUCUUCAACCAUUUUUUUUAACAAAUAAAUUUUUUUAAAAAUUAAAUCAAUUAUGUAAAAAUAUAAUAUAAGAUAAAUAAAUCUAUGAAAAAAAAAUAAUAAACAAAAGAAUAAAAAAAAAAUCAAUACAGUAGGCCAACGAAUAUGGGGGAUAUGUUUCCCCUAGACAGAUAUCCAAUAUCCGUUGAAGGCUUUCAGCAAUCUCUU